rnacentral:rRNA from 1 species
AUGCCGGCGUCGAGCGCAAAGGCGGUGCUGGAGACGGCGGCGUCGACGUCGACGUGCACCCCGGAGACGGUGCAGCGCAAGCACGUGUUCGACAUCCGCGGGUACAGCCAGCACAAGCUCCUCGGCCCCAACGUGUACAUCAGCUCGGGCGCCUUCGCCGUCGGCGGCUUCGACUGGAACAUCCGCUACUACCCCGGCGGGUACCUGAAGCCCAAGUACGUGUCCGUCUACCUGGAGCUCCUGAGCGCCGGCGCCCGCGUGCGCGCGUCCUGCGACCUGACCGUCGUCGGCCAGCGCCCCGGCUCGCCCUCCCUGGUUUCGCGGACCCCGCCCAUGCUCUUCACCUCCGACCUCAGCAGGUUCGCGCCCAGCACCAGCAAGUUCGUCAAGAGGAGCAAGCUGGAGUCGCCGUCGUGGGGGCUCGUCCACGGUGACCGCCUCGUCAUCGAGUGCGUGGUCACCGUCUUCAUGUACCCGACCGUGGUCACCCGGGCGGCCGCGCCGGACGUGGGGUACCCGCCCUCGGACCUGCACCGCGAUCUCGCCAGGAUGUACGAGUCCCAGGCCGGGGCGGACGUCGGCUUCCUCGUCGGAGGGCAGGGCUUCCGCGCCCACCGCACCGUGCUGGCCAUGAGGGCGCCGGCGUUCAUGGCGGGCGUCGUGCGUGGCGGCGGGCUGGGGUUCUCUGGCGGGUGCGUCGACAUCAACGACAUGCAGCCUGAGGCCUUCGACGCUCUCCUCUACUACAUCUACAUGGAUUCGCUCCCUGCCGCCAUACGCGACGUGGACGGAGACCGUAAGAGGGAGCUUGUCAUGGAUCUGCUUGCGGCUGCGGACCGGUACGAUAUUCAAAGGUUGAAGCUAAUAUGUGAAACCGCCCUCUCCAAGACCCUUGAGGCCAAUACCGUGGUGACCACGUUGACUUUAGCAGAGAAGCAUCACUGCCAGAGGCUCCGUCAGGCUUGUGUUCAAUUCAUAGCUUCUUCUGUAGAUCAAAUCAAGUGA